CCUCAACCCAGCGAGGUCAACAUGUUCUUUAUUUAAUUAGUCUUUUAGGCAUUUAAAAGCACACGCAUAUUUAAAAGAAAAGGUCUAUUAUAAAGGAGAUGUAAAGUCAACUGGAAUACUUAAUCAUCAAAAUUCAAUUUUAUUCUUCUUCCUCUCUCCCUUUGUUUUAGGGGGAAAUAGGUUUUGUGCACGAUUUGGGGGUGAGCAAUAGGACGGGGUAGAAAUGACCACAAGGAUUUGUUGACUUGUUUUCAAGGAGAUGGGGAACUGCAGUCUUAGCGGGUGGCUGCGCCCAGGUAAGGGUGAAAUACAGAAAGCGUUGGGCCACCUACCAGCAAAAGUUUCCACAGGGCGCGGGCCACUCCUUAGCUAGCCGGGGCCGCGCCUCCAGGACCUUAGUCCCGAAAAUGAACGCCGCAGGGUCGACUGGUCGGGGCGCACGAAGCAUCAGCUCGGCCUUGUGGCCGGACCGGGUGUCUCGGAAGGCGGGCUGAUCCCAGGCCAGUCCGCGGGAUUAGGAGUGGUCACCCUAAACCAGGAGAGGGCAGGGUGGGAGUGUGCGCGGCGUCGCGAUGCAGACUCAUCCGGAGGUCUCAGCACCCGAAAAUGUGGAGGUGGCAGCUUCUGCAGAGAAAGAGAAACCAGCAGCCAGGCUCCUGGUGCCAGCUUGUCUUCAGAGAGAAAAGAAGCCUUAGGGGUACAGACUGCAAGUUAUGAAGUCUCCACCAAGGGGGGAAAAGUAGCAUCUGAACUGUCGCUGUGAAGAAAUUGUUUGCAGGUAUUCUGAUUCAGCACAUCAGGCCAGGUGUCUGAGCGACUGCAUUUCUCGAAAGCUCCCAGAGAUGUGCUGUGGCUGCUUUGUGUCCCAUCAUCCCCUGAGGAGCAGCUCUGAAUCAGUUCACUCACCAUCUUGGUCCCCACAAUUCCCACAGUUUUGAAAGAAAGCCAAGACCCUGGAACUGUAGCUCUCACAAUUUCUGAUACAUCUAAAUCACCUUGAAGGCUCAUUUUAGAAUGCAAAUUCCAAGGCCUUGACCUGGAAGAUUCUGAUUCACCACUGCUACUUCCCUGCAUGCCUAGACCUAAGCCUGGCUGUAGCACAGCUAUGCCAUCAGGUCCUCCCAGCUCCUGAGCCUGUCCUCCGGCCAUACCCCUUUGCUUGCAAAAAGCCUGAUUUGGUGGCCUUCUUCUCUUUGAAUGUCCUUUGCUGGUUCUCAUGAUUGUCUAGUUUUUUAUCUCUGCUCAGAUGUCUCUUCCUCAGAGGGGUUUUCCCUGACCACAGUCUAAGGUAAUGCUUUCUGCCACAGUCACUGUCCCUGUGCUUUCUUGCCUUCCUUCCCAGUUCCUGUUACUCUCUGGAAUAAUCUUGUCCCUGCAUCUGCUUAUUGGUUUGCUGUCUGUCUUCCAUGGCAACAGGAACUUUACCUGCCUUGUUUUCCACACUGAAUUCUCAGUACCUAGCACAGUGCUGGAGAACUGAAUGAAUGAAUGAAUGCACCCUAGUGGAGAAAGAAGGUGUAAAGUAAACAGUGACAUGAAUUCUGGCCUUGGAAAUUUAAGACUUCAGAGUGAAGCAGAAGUGAGCAUCUCAUGAACAAAGGAUCCUAAGAAUAGAAAAGGAUUCAUCAUGAUUCCUUCAGGGUGUGGAAGAAAAUUAAGUUAGGAAUAGAAGAUGUAGAAUACAAAAUUCAUUGUCCUUCCUCUGUAUUUCAUUUUAAAAUGAUAAAAAUAUAUGUUCCUGGUAGGCAAUUUGGGAAAACAGAAAAAUUUAAGAAAGUAUAUACCACAUUAACUGACCACCCAUGGGUAACUUUGGUUUUCAUUUUUGUGUUUUUCCUUUUAAAUUAUUGUAAAUGUUUUCAAAUAUGUGUGUCUUAUAUACACAUAUAUAUGGCACAUAUACUUUCAUGUUCUGCUCUUUUAUUAUUUCACAUUAUAGGAUGAGCAUAUUCUUGUACCUACAAAGUGCCUUUAAAACAUACUUUUAAUUGGUGUUUAAUACUCCAUUAUAUGAUGGAAAUGCAUUAUAUAUUUGUUUUACUUUUUGUUCAGAAGAGCACUCUUGGUACUGGCUUUCUUUAAAGUGGAAUAGAAAUGUCUAAUAAAAGAUUUUUCACCUUGAUGAGAAUAGUGAUUGUCAACCAAGUUGAUUUUGCCCCUGAGUAGGCAUUUGGCUGUGUCCAGAGACAGUUUUGCUUGUCAUAACUGGGAGAGGGCAUUGGCAUAUUGUGGGUGAAGGCCAGGGAUGCCGCCAAAUCUCCCACAACACUUAGGACUGGCCCUACAACAAAGAAUUGCCGACCUAAAUGUCAACAGUGCUGGGGGUUGAGAAACUUGCUAUCCAGGCCAGUGUCAGGGUUAAUAUUCAACAUCCACUUAAAAUUCAAAUUCACAUUCUGCCAUUAAUAUACAGG
rnacentral:lncRNA from 1 species